rnacentral:tRNA from 1 species
AUUAAAAUAGCUCAAAAAGAGUAUUGCAUUGAAGCUGCAAAGGUAACCAUGUGUUUUUUAAUA